rnacentral:lncRNA from 1 species
AAGAACUGCUCCUGCAGACCUCCAACUGUAUUUAGCAUAGCUUAAAUUGAAUAAAAUUGUAACAUUUAUACAUUCCGAUUGCAACAAAAAUACUUGUACAUGAGUUUGUAACAUCAUGUAAACCCAAGCUUCAACGUUAGGAAGUUGACCUUUGAAUCCUCUUGAACCCCAUGCGGUCUUGAAUCCAGGUACAGCUGCAAUCUCCUUCAGUCCAUAAGGAAUCCCAUACAAAGGCUCUGUCAAUGAAACGAGUAUUUAUUUAACUCUUCAACCAGAGAGUAUUUCACAAUGUUACAAAUAAGCAAGUUAAAAAUACAAAAAGCAGCAUGAACAGAAUGAACAUUUAGCAGACAAGCUUAGCUUAACCACCAAAGCAUAAUCUAGGCAUAUCAACCUGUUAAAAGUUUACUAUCUUAAAAUUCCCAAAGCCCUCAAAAUAAAAAUUAUUUCUAGUCCGGUGGAAUUGUUUUACGAUUCACCAAUGUGACAAAAAUGGCACUUAAAAAUUGAUGAGAAAAUGACACCUAAAACUCUCAGAUUGUGAUGAUCCUGAAUGGAUAAGAUACCAAAUAUACUCUCUGGCAGUCAAUUAAUGUGCUCCGAGAAAAGUUAUCAUAGCUUCAAGAACAGGAUUGUACAUGUUGUUGUUCAAACCAAUGCAUCAUUAUCAUUAACAGGAGAAGGAGAAGUUGAAAAUUAGAAUGGAUAGCCACCAUUAUAAUUUCUCCUUUGCAUGCCUCAGAAUAACUUGCACGAGCUCAUGAGCUGUAAUUUGGUUUGUCGUAAUGAGUUCUAAUUCAAGGAUCUGCCACAAACCAAUCACAGUGAAAAAUGGACCAAGGAGAAAAAGGAGGACAAGUGAUUGUCCAAAAAUGAGUAGCAACUGGUUCACACUCGUGAAGGCAAAAUCUUCAUCACUUUUUAGUCAACAGCAGGAAAGUUAAAUUUUUUGCUUGAAUUGUCCUUAUGAGUCCACUCUGGAUUUAAAAGUAAACAAGAUGGUGGUUAUGCAGUUCUCCAUUCUCAGAUGCAACUAAUCUCCAGUUAGAUUCAUGGUAGACAAAUUAAACUCCACUGCACCAGUUUCAGUCUUCAUCAUCUAAACUAGAAGUGUUUCAAUAAACAACAAAACCUACGUAAUGCCAUAUCUAGAUAUGUACAUGAUGAAGAGUUUGAGAAAGUGAGAAGGGUACCAUGGAUAAGUUUCUAAGCCAUGAGCGUUGAAAUGGUUGAAUCAAAGGCGAGAUCUUCUUAGCACUGACAGAAGAGAGCGGGCCCGCCCGGAGAAAAGUGGAAGAGAGGAGUACAAAAACAGCAAGUAGCAAGAAACGUGUCAAUUUAACUGAAAAGGAUGACAGAAUUGACCGCCAUAGCUGAUACGUUUCAGUAAUCAACGGCGACAGCUGCUCUUUGUGGCUUCUGCAAUUGUGCUAGUUAAUUAUGUGGGACAUGUCUAGCAAAU